UUGGUGGAUUUGGAGACUUCAACUUGUAGACUUGACAAACUUUAUGACAUCAACUUGCAGACUUUGCUGAUUUAAAGACUUCAACU
rnacentral:pre_miRNA from 1 species